UUGUAAUGAUGCUGAUCCAAAUGUCUGACCUGAAAAUAACUUGUAGACAGCAAAUUGAACACUGAAGAA
ensembl:snoRNA